GGUCUGAAUACUUUCCGUACCCACUGUAUAUAGAUAUUAUGAUUAAAUAAGUUCUAAUCUAUCUGCAUUAAGCGUCCGCGCUCGAGAGAUGAGAGUCAAUUUUGUAUUUUCGACUAUGUCGAUAAUGUCGACUAAACGUUUCAGCCCUAAUGCAAAAGAUAAUAUGCUUUUAAACUCGCCUGCUUUAUUUGCUUGAAUAAAUCCGGGUGUCUGUCUUUCACAUGCUUUAUUAAGUUUGAUGUGUUUCCUCCUUUCGUCAGAAAAUUGUGAAAGCACCGUUUACAAAAAGGUUUUUGCUGAUUUAUGAUGUUUCCCUUUUUCAUCAGCCUCAAAUCCAAAUAAUUUCCAAACCUGGCUUUUUUUUUUUCGACAAGAUUCAGUUGAGACUCCACAGCAGCAGCAGCUUUGCUUGUCGUCAUCUUUUGCUUGUUGCAAGCGUUCAGAAGUUCCCGCCUCUGCGUGGGUACCGGGUAGACCCGGUACCUUCAGAAAUUCUGGUAUCGUAAAUCAUUUUUAGUUUGAGUACCGACUUGGUACCGGUAUUUUUGACAACACUAGUGAGUAGUGUUGAAUGCAUAGAAUCUCUCUCUCUCCCCCAGCCCCCCAUGGCUCCAGCUACUGUCCAGGACCACACCAUCCCUUCAAACUACGCCCAUGGCUCCUGCUACAGUCCAGGACCAAGUCGUCUCUCCCACUGCCCCUCCUGAAGAGUGGAUAAUAGAGGUAAAUGCACAUCUGCAAGAACACCAUGGAUGAAUGCUGAGGUCAACGCUGUGAUGUGAUCAGUUGAACUAAAUUGAUUUUGGAUUUUAAUUUAAAAAAUGUGUCCAAGGGACUAAAUCUCUGUCACGUUUCCACUUGUGAUUUUAUUGUGAAGGUAUUUUUUUAGUAGUUUUGUUUUUAUUCCCAUCACUGAGUGACAGUAUUUAACAUGUUUUACUCUCUGAAUGAUGCUGUUUAAGGUUUUAAUGUAGCUGUUUAUUCCAAUGGACCAAAUUUCUCUAAAUGACAAUUUUUUUUCUCCCUCUUAUUGUAUCAUAUAUGUAAUAUCAGUGUUUGAUAUUCAAUAUUUUAAACAAUCAUCUCAUUUAAAGCAUCACAAUCACAACUGCAUUAUGUCCCUCAUAUUUGUCUAGCAAACUUUAAUAAAUAAACA